rnacentral:rRNA from 1 species
AGACCAAAGAGGGGGACCUUCGGGCCUCUUGCCAUCGGAUGUGCCCAGAUGGGAUUAGCUAGUAGGUGGGGUAACGGCUCACCUAGGCGACGAUCCCUAGCUGGUCUGAGAGGAUGUCCAGCCACACUGGAAGUGAGACACGGUCCAGACUCCUACGGGAGGCAGCAGUGGGGAAUAUUGCACAAUGGGCGCAAGCGUGAUGCAGCCAUGCCGCGUGUCUGAAGAAGGCGUUCGGGUUGUAAAGUACUUUCAGCGGGGAGGAAGGGAGUAAAGUCUAAUACCUUUGAUCAUUGACGUUACCCGCAGAAGAAGCACCGGCUAACUCCGUGCCAGCAGCCGCGGUAAUACGGGGGGUGCAAAGCUUAUCUCGGAUAUUACUGGGUGGAAAAGCACAGCCAGGGGCUUUGCUAAGUCAGAUGGAAAAUCCCCGGCUUCACCCCGGGAACUGAAUGGAAUCUGUCACACUCGAGUGUUGGAGAGGGAAGGUAGAAUUCCUAGUGUAGCGGUGAAAUGCGUAGAUAUAUGGAGGAACACCAGUGGCGAAGGCGGCCCCUGGAGACAGCUGACGCUCGGCUGGAAAGCGUGGGGAGCCAACAAAAAUAAAAUCCCUUGUAAUUCCCCCCGUAAAAGAACAUUAAAAGGGGUCGGGGGCCACAGCCCCCCGGUGCCGCAGCAAACGCAGUAAGUAUUCCACCUGGGGAGUACGUUCGCAAGAAUGAAACUCAAAGGAAUUGACGGGGACCCGCACAAGCGGUGGAGCAUGUGGUUUAAUCCGAAGCAACGCGAAGAACCUUACCCGGCCUUGACAUCCCGAUGAAUGUACAGUAAUGUGUACAGGACUUCGGUACAUCGGAGACAGGUGGUGCAUGGUUGUCGUCAGCUCAUGUCGUGAGAUGUUGGGUUAAGUCCCGCAACGAGCGCAACCCCUGCCCUCAGUAGCCAGCAGGUAAAGCUGGGAACUCUGAGGGGACUGCCCGGGAUAACCGGGAGGAAGGCGGGGAUGACGUCCAAUCAUCAUGCCCCUUAUGGCCGGGGCUACACACGUGCUACAAUGGCGGAAACAGAGGGAAGCAGCCCCGUGAGGGUGAGCGAACCCCAAAAAUACCGCCUCAGUUCGGAUUGUAGUCUGCAACCCGACUACAUGAAGCCGGAAUCGCUAGUAAUCGCGAAUCAGAAUGUCGCGGUGAAUACGUUCCCGGGUCUUGCACUCACCGCCCGUCA